rnacentral:tRNA from 2 species
AAUUAAUAAGCUAAUUAAGCGUAUGUUUUGAAAACAUAAAUUAGAAGCUUGAAUCUUCUAUUAAUUU